UGAUAGCUCAGUCAGUAGAGUAUGAGACUCUUAAUCUCAAGGUCAUGCGUUUGAGCCCCACAUUGGGCAAAA